rnacentral:rRNA from 1 species
UACGUAGGGUGCAAGCGUUAAUCGGAAUUACUGGGCGUAAAGCGUGCGCAGGCGGUUCUAUAAGACAGAUGUGAAAUCCCGGGCUCAACCUGGGAACUGCAUUUGUGACUGUAGAGCUGGAGUACGGCAGAGGGGGAUGGAAUUCCGCGUGUAGCAGUGAAAUGCGUAGAUAUGCGGAGGAACACCGAUGGCGAAGGCAAUCCCCUGGGCCUGUACUGACGCUCAUGCACGAAAGCGUGGGGAGCAAACAGG